GCAACUUGAGUUUAGGAAUAGGGAGAAAUGUCUGGGGGAUUGCUGCUCUCAUCAAGAUAACUGCCUGGAAAGACUGUGAGUUGUUUGUUGUUCUUUUUAAAAAUAUUUUUAUGUGUAUUAGAGUUUUGCCUGCAGCUAUGCCAGAGUGAAAGUGACACAUCCCCUGGAGCUGGAGUUACAGACAUUGUGAGGCGCCAUGUAGGUGCUGGGAAUUGAACCUCUGUCCUCUGGAAGAGCAGCCAAUGCUCUUGACUGCUGAGCUAUUUCCCAGGAUGUCCUUAUGCUGCUCUGUGUGAGCAGAGGCCAGGCACUGCUAUGUGGAAACUAUCCCAACUUUGGUAGCCUCACAUAUGGGCUUGAAAAGACGAUGAUGGGAACCUGACCACAACAGCAUGUACCAGCAACCAUUAUUUAAGGAACCCAGACGAGGUGAGCAGCCCUAACUCCUGUGGGUGACACUGUGUAUGACACGGGGAAGGAGCAGGAAGAGAUGCCUGUACGUGACUCUCGUGGACAUCUCUCAAGAUGAGAACAGUUGAGCAAGGUCAGCAGCAGAGUCAGAACUCUUCCCCCAUCACCACAGUGGUCCUCAAGCUGGAGCCAGACAUCCACCCAGGUGACCCAGCUUGGAUCAUGUGCUUAGGGCCAUGUUGAGCCAACAACUGAGCCUGAGGAUUACCUUCCCAAGUCUCAGUCCCUUCCUCACCAGUCGGGACACUUGUCAUGCCUGCGAGAUGUCAGACCUGCCUUCCUUCCUCAUUUCCUCCACAACCCACAAGAACACAGCCAGGACCCC
ensembl:antisense Ttc39aos1 Ttc39a opposite strand RNA 1